CACUCCAGCCAUUAGAUCCAGUCGUUCUUUUUCCACUUGUUCAGCUUCCAAGAGAGUCCAUGACAUGUAGGGCCAAAUACGUGCGGGGUCCAGCGGUCGGAGGCAGGCACAGGCGCCGGUCUGCGUCACCUUCCUUCUUCGCGCGUGGUGAAAACCUAGACACCAAUCCGUCGCCUCGCUCUCCUCCUUCCCAAUCCCCACCUCCUCUCCUCCCCCGAAUCAGCCGCCUCCUCUCCUCCCCCAAUCAGCCGCCUCCUCUCUUCAUCCCAAUCGACGACCUCCGUCGGAAUGGAACGGAGCGGCAGCAAGCUGGGCAGGCGGCGGCGACCAGAUGCGCCGAGCGAGGCCGGAGACGGGCGGCGCGGCCGGAGACGCGGUGGCGACGGCCGGAGGCGACCGGCACGGCCGCAGACGGGCCAGAGCGGGGCGGAUCCGCGGCGGCGACGACCGGAGGCGACGGGGCGGCCGGAGACGGGCCGGCGCGGGGCGGAUCUGUGGCAGCGACGACCGGAGGCGAGACCAUCUCUCCCUGCUCUCGUCAUCUUCAGUGGAUGAACAAUGGGCAGGCGGCAAGGGAUGGUCUUGGCAAAGCCUGAUUCAACUCCAGGUUAGACUCGCUGGAGUUUCUUUCCUCAGUUCUUACUGUGAUUUAAUUUCUGUUUUCUGCUAAUAUUUGGAGGAGGAGAGGAGGAGCGGGUGUCCGGGGCGGAGCAGGUGCGGCCGGCCCGCAGGAGGGAGGCGCAGUGAUGGAGGGCGACCGGCGGCGUGCUCGUGUUUCAUCUGCUCUGCAAUCUGUGUAGAUCAACCUUCAAGCGACGUUUCUUUCUCGAUCUUGUCGAUCUGCGCGUUCUGGUCGGUUGGCUUGGUUCUUUGGUCCAGCCGCUGACUGCUUCUGAAGAUUAUUGGGGGCUGCCUCUUCUGCGCUGAGAGAAAAAAAAGGUCCUGGUUUCUGAGGAUUUCACAAGAAUCAGGUGUGACUGUGCUGUGCUGUCUACUCCUGUCAAGGAUGUGCACCCUUGUGUCCGUUGUUAUUCCGAUUUUAGAGACCCUUCAGAACGAUGUGCUCUGCCGGCCUUGUUUUACCUGUGUGAGGUGACUGCAUGUUAGCGUAUAGAAGUUCAGCGUGUGCAGCUCAUAGAAUGAGUACCCUGGAGAGAAAUACUAUGCGUCUUACUUCUGUAAGUUCCGGACCUCUUGGUGGGCAGCCGGCCUUUGAUUGGCAUUUUUGCGCUCACGUCUUAUGGCGUCGGUUCGUUAUGUGUAGGUUCUGUAAAUGCUGAUUGUAUUGGACCAAAUGUAAUAAGUGAUGAGAUAAUUAUCCUGGAUUUUCUGUUGUGUUU